AGACUUUCCUCUGUGAGGAACAGAAACAAAAAGGAGACCAGAGAGGCCAAUUAACUAGGCCAAUUAGGACUCAACAAGAUGCAUCAUUAAAAGAUAUAAAACCACUUGGUGAGGCAGACAGAACGCGAGCUUGAAUCAAGAAAAAUGAGAAACCCAUGCUGUGAGGCCAAACUGUCCUCCAGUCUCAGUCACAAAGUCAAGCCACAGAUCGAUGUCCCUCUGUGGACACUGGUGUGGAAGGCAGGAGACGACCAGCGGCAAGGACAUCCAUGCUGGGCCACAGUGAAGCUGAGCCUAGUCAAGCCUACCGGGCCUGGAGCUAAUCCCCUAAUGGCUGCUAUAUUUGGAUCAGUAGCAUCUACGGAGCAGGUGGAAAGCAGCAUGAGGGCUUACUGUGACACAACAUGAGCAAAACAGAGUAUCCACACACUACCAGGUCCUCAGGGAUGGAAUCACGAGUGGAAAGUCAUCAGAAGCCUAUAGGCCAGAGGGGAGCAAGAGAUCAGGGGUUAAGAGACAUCCUUUGGAACUUCAUCUGAGGUGCUGCUUUUUUUAACGUGUCCUAACUUCUCAAAGACAGAAAAUAAUCCCUGCCCUGAAUGAAAUAAAAUGCAUACAAAUCCAGAUGAUUAUACUUUAAUAUCAAGAGAUUCCCUUUCUUUUACUCUCUCCUCUCUCUUUUUUCUCCCAUC